rnacentral:lncRNA from 1 species
GUUUGUGUGAUUGAAUAGUGGAAGGGUGUAGGUGUUCUGUGAGGUACUGCAAUGGUGAUAUAGGUUUGUUAGUUGUUGGUUGGUCAGAAACUAGAGGGUUGUUAGGAAUGUUGAUCGAUAUAGAAAAACUGCAGUAUGUGUACUGUCUUUCCGAGGGUUGAUUGUAGGGUGUGUAAGAUGUAUUGGGAACCAUCGCUACGUAGGAGUGCUUACUUGUUCUAGUAAUUAGUGAGGAGCAGAGGGUUAUUCAUUCACUAAUGCAGGUAGAGUAACGUGAGUUCAGAACAGAUUUGGGUAAGGACUGUAGCAAGUGAAAUGAUUGUGGUUAUUGUAAGUGUAGGAAGAAAGAAUUACGCUCUACCCCUUCAGUUCUGUGACGCAUUUCUACCUUGAGAAAGGGUGUAUGGAUGUCACAAGAUUAAUGGCCAGAGUAUUAACUAUUUGAAUCCCAAGUAAGUUUCUAUGUAUGGUGUAUGAAAGAAAAUAAAAUAUUAACAUUAAUAUGAGAACUCGUCUUGGUACUGACGGGAUUGAACGUGUCGCGUUACUAUGACUCCCUUUUAAGUGAUAUUUGACGCUAAUACGUUUCAGAUUACUGUCCUUGUGGUUCCCUCGUUAUAGAAUAGGUCUCGGAAUCGGCAAAAAGAAUGACUGGACAGGAUUUCUUACCGUAACGAGGCUGCUUCAAGUUAGUGCAUUAGAAGAGAGACGUGGUAGUAUAACGUCAAGUUUGGUGAUAUAACCAUGAAACUUUAAGUUUAAGUUUGGUGAUAUAACCAUGAAACGUCAAGUUUGGUGAUAUAACCAUGAAACGUCAAGUUUGGUGAUAUAACCAUGAAACGUCAAGUUUGGUGAUAUAACCAUGAAACGUCAAGUUUGGUGAUAUAACCAUGAAACGUCAAGUUUGGUGAUAUAACCAUGAAAUUAGUUCUUGAAGUGGAGGGUAAGUGAAAGUACUAGACUUGUGCUGAAGGUAGUAUAACGAGGGUGACGUAAACGCUCUGGUCUUUAUUAGAUUAGAAUGCGAAGUAAGGGGUUCAAGUUUGUGGAAGAGAAGUCACAUUUGGGAUAUAACCAAGAAAUUCGUUCUGAAGUGGUGGUGAAAUGAACGGAUUCGACUCUUAUCAGAAUGUAUCAUUGUUGCAAAGGUGUUCGGUACGCUUCGCUGUUCAUGACAACGACUGCGAGUAUGUUGAUAGGAUAGUGACGUGAAAAGGACGACAAUGGUGGAUCUAUGGAAUGAAAGUGAGAGAAAAGGUUCAUGAGUGACGGGAGUGGUAAAGUUUCCAGGUUAUGUGGGGGACGAAAAUGUUUGGGAGGAAUCGGUGAGCGUGCAUGGAUCGUAGCAAGAGGAGGCAGAGUGGUAACUGAAUGCAAUGUGGUAAAAUGGAGGAGAGAGAGAGGGAGUCGGGAGAAAUGGUGUAGUGCGAGUUUGUGAAUGAAUUAGGGCACAGUAUGGAUGAAAGGGUGAGGACGUGAAGAGAAUUGGUGGUGGUGGUGGUGGAACUGUGUAGACUAGUGAAAGGCUGAGGAGAGAUGUAGUGCGAGUUUGUGAAUGAAUUAGGGCACAGUAUGGAUGAAAGGAUGAGGACGUGAAAAGAAUUGGUGGUGGUGGGACUGUUUAGUUUAGAGACUAGUAAAAGGCUGAUUGAGGCAGUGAAGGAGUUUGUUCAGGGUAAGGUGGGGUGUUAAAUGGAAGGAUAAUUAGUGUAAAGUAAUUAAGAUACCGCCGUUUUGUUCAUGUAUUUUGUCCAUUACAAGAGUAACUGUUGACGAUCCAAAGGCGUGACUACAGCGAUAAGAAGCCUCUUCUACCAUCAAGAAGAGACACUACCUAGCACUGCGCGUUCAUUGACAAUGCCCUCUACCAAAACCUCUGCCUCCGCCACCGCCGCGAGAUCAGGGAAGGACUCGCUGCCUUGCAUCGUGCCCACACACUGUAUACACCGUCAUUAUACUCUAACGCCGCCGCUUAGAGAUACUGGGCGAGUGGAUGAUAGCGACGCAGGUGUGGUAUGGAUGGUCUGGCGACGAGAACCAGCAGAUGACGGCAGGGAAGAUUAAACUAACCAGGAGUUGACGAUCCAAAGGCCUGACUGUAGCGAUCCCGUGCCUCCUGCACCAUCAGGGAGGGACUCUCGGCUUCACACGGCGCCUUCACUGACCCUCCCAACACCAACCCCGCCGCCGCUACUGCCGCUCGGGGGGAGGGAUUCUGCCUCGCAUUGGGCCUUCACUGCCGUCCCGAUAACAAGUGCCGCCGUCGCUGCUACUGCCACCGAGGGACUCCGCCACGCAGCUGUCCAGCAAACACCUGCUACCACCGCCGUCCAGUGCGAUUCAGCCUCGCAUCGCACACAUCUGCCACUCACACCUGCCGCCGCCACCGCUACAACAGCAGCAGCAGCAGCAGCAAGAAUGAUUGUGUGGCACCUUUACCCUGCGCGGCCAACACCUACUCCUACUGGUGUUGGUGGCCAGGGAGGUGGUGUUGGCGGGUGCCUUUACUACAUUGUAAUAAACUGUCUUCACUGCCUCAUUGUGUUGUCACUGUACUAAGAGUUGUCACUACUGAAUAAUAAAUUUUGAAGAAGUC